AACCUAUUGGAUUGGAAUCACAG
rnacentral:piRNA from 1 species